rnacentral:rRNA from 1 species
UACAGAGGUCCCAAGCGUUGUUCGGAUUCACUGGGCGUAAAGGGUGCGUAGGUGGUCGGGUAAGUCUGAUGUGAAAUCUCCGAGCCUAACUCGGAAACUGCAUCGGAUACUAUUCGGCUAGAGGAUUGGAGGGGGGACUGGAAUACUUGGUGUAGCAGUGAAAUGCGUAGAUAUCAAGUGGAACACCAGUGGCGAAGGCGAGUCCCUGGACAACUCCUGACACUGAGGCACGAAAGCUAGGGGAGCAAACAGG